ACUGAGGAGUGUCUCUGCCCAGCCGCGACCCCAUCUGGGAGGUGAGGAGCAUCUCUGCCCGUCCGCCCUGUCUGAGAAGUGAGGAGCCCCUCCGCCCGGCAGCCGCCUCGUCUGGGAAGUGAGGGGCGUCUCCGCCCGGCAGCUGCCCCGUCCGGGAGGCUCAGUCACCUUUCCCGGUUGCCUUGAUCCAAGGCCUGAUAUGGGAUAUCCAGGAAGAGUCGACGGUCACAGAGAAGGCCGUGCCAAUGGGCAGAGGUCUGGGAGGUCUCAUUCUGUGCCUGUGAACAUGGCGGCGCCCGUUGUCACGGCCCCGGGCAGAGCUCUGCUGCGGGCGGGCGCUGGACGGCUGCUUCGGGGAGGCGUCCAGGAGCUACUGCGGCCG
rnacentral:lncRNA from 10 species